UCAUUUAAAGAAAGCGUAAUAGCUCACUGGUCGAGUCGGCCUGCGCGGAAGAUGUAACGGGGCUAAACCAUGCACCGAAGCUGCGGCAGCGACGCUUAUGCGUUGUUGGGUAGGGGAGCGUUCUGUAAGCCUGCGAAGGUGUGCUGUGAGGCAUGCUGGAGGUAUCAGAAGUGCGAAUGCUGACAUAAGUAACGAUAAAGCGGGUGAAAAGCCCGCUCGCCGGAAGACCAAGGGUUCCUGUCCAACGUUAAUCGGGGCAGGGUGAGUCGACCCCUAAGGCGAGGCCGAAAGGCGUAGUCGAUGGGAAACAGGUUAAUAUUCCUGUACUUGGUGUUACUGCGAAGGGGGGACGGAGAAGGCUAUGUUGGCCGGGCGACGGUUGUCCCGGUUUAAGCGUGUAGGCUGGUUUUCCAGGCAAAUCCGGAAAAUCAAGGCUGAGGCGUGAUGACGAGGCACUACGGUGCUGAAGCAACAAAUGCCAUGCUUCCAGGAAAAGCCUCUAAGCAUCAGGUAACAUCAAAUCGUACCCCAAACCGACACAGGUGGUCAGGUAGAGAAUACCAAGGCGCUUGAGAGAACUCGGGUGAAGGAACUAGGCAAAAUGGUGCCGUAACUUCGGGAGAAGGCACGCUGAUAUGUAGGUGAAGCGACUUGCUCGUGGAGCUGAAAUCAGUCGAAGAUACCAGCUGGCUGCAACUGUUUAUUAAAAACACAGCACUGUGCAAACACGAAAGUGGACGUAUACGGUGUGACGCCUGCCCGGUGCCGGAAGGUUAAUUGAUGGGGUCAGCGCAAGCGAAGCUCUUGAUCGAAGCCCCGGUAAACGGCGGCCGUAACUAUAACGGUCCUAAGGUAGCGAAAUUCCUUGUCGGGUAAGUUCCGACCUGCACGAAUGGCGUAAUGAUGGCCAGGCUGUCUCCACCCGAGACUCAGUGAAAUUGAACUCGCUGUGAAGAUGCAGUGUACCCGCGGCAAGACGGAAAGACCCCGUGAACCUUUACUAUAGCUUGACACUGAACAUUGAGCCUUGAUGUGUAGGAUAGGUGGGAGGCUUUGAAGUGUGGACGCCAGUCUGCAUGGAGCCGACCUUGAAAUACCACCCUUUAAUGUUUGAUGUUCUAACGUUGACCCGUAAUCCGGGUUGCGGACAGUGUCUGGUGGGUAGUUUGACUGGGGCGGUCUCCUCCUAAAGAGUAACGGAGGAGCACGAAGGUUGGCUAAUCCUGGUCGGACAUCAGGAGGUUAGUGCAAUGGCAUAAGCCAGCUUGACUGCGAGCGUGACGGCGCGAGCAGGUGCGAAAGCAGGUCAUAGUGAUCCGGUGGUUCUGAAUGGAAGGGCCAUCGCUCAACGGAUAAAAGGUACUCCGGGGAUAACAGGCUGAUACCGCCCAAGAGUUCAUAUCGACGGCGGUGUUUGGCACCUCGAUGUCGGCUCAUCACAUCCUGGGGCUGAAGUAGGUCCCAAGGGUAUGGCUGUUCGCCAUUUAAAGUGGUACGCGAGCUGGGUUUAGAACGUCGUGAGACAGUUCGGUCCCUAUCUGCCGUGGGCGCUGGAGAACUGAGGGGGGCUGCUCCUAGUACGAGAGGACCGGAGUGGACGCAUCACUGGUGUUCGGGUUGUCAUGCCAAUGGCACUGCCCGGUAGCUAAAUGCGGAAGAGAUAAGUGCUGAAAGCAUCUAAGCACGAAACUUGCCCCGAGAUGAGUUCUCCCUGACUCCUUGAGAGUCCUGAAGGAACGUUGAAGACGACGACGUUGAU
rnacentral:rRNA from 1 species